rnacentral:rRNA from 1 species
GAUGAACGCUGGCGGCGUGCCUAAUACAUGCAAGUCGAGCGAACGGACGAGAAGCUUGCUUCUCUGAUGUUAGCGGCGGACGGGUGAGUAACACGUGGAUAACCUACCUAUAAGACUGGGAUAACUUCGGGAAACCGGAGCUAAUACCGGAUAAUAUUUUGAACCGCAUGGUUCAAAAGUGAAAGACGGUCUUGCUGUCACUUAUAGAUGGAUCCGCGCUGCAUUAGCUAGUUGGUAAGGUAACGGCUUACCAAGGCAACGAUGCAUAGCCGACCUGAGAGGGUGAUCGGCCACACUGGAACGGAGACACGGUCCAGACUACUACGGGAGGCAGCAGUAGGGAAUCUUCCGCAAUGGGCGAAAGCCUGACGGAGCAACGCCGCGUGAGUGAUGAAGGUCUUCGGAUCGUAAAACUCUGUUAUUAGGGAAGAACAGAUGUGUAAGUAACUGUGCACAUCUUGACGGUACCUAAUCAGAAAGCCACGGCUAACUACGUG